rnacentral:lncRNA from 1 species
CGCCGCCUCUCGGUCCCGCCGCCGCCGCCGCCGCUGCAGCCGCCGCCGCCGGGCAGUGGAGGUGACUUUCCUGCGCAGCGCCGCUCCUGAGGGCCGAGAACCCACAGGGAGUGCGACCCCUCUGCACGCUGUGAGUGAGCAAUGUCCGAGGGACUCGAGCCGAUCGAAGGUUGAGGAGCCGCUCGCCUGGGAGUGGACGGCCUGGAAGAGCCGCCCCUCUUUGGUUUCUCUCUCCCGCCUGCAGUCCGCACCCCUCCGAGAUUCGUGCCCCACUGGACGGUUUGCGAAGGCUGAGGCUGCCUUGGGGACUCACAAAAGGCCACAGGGGUGAUUCGAUGUGUAAAUAGGGAAACAAUCAUCAGCACACAAUCCGGCUAAAGGGAUAACAUAUGAGUUUGCUUGUUGCCCCUCAUGGGAUUCUUCUCUUUUUAUAGAAGGACGCCCUAUAGUGCUCUUGGCGGUCCACGAAAAAGUUGGAGUCCGCCUCCCCAUUUCUCCGGUCGGUGAGUGGCAGGAGGAAAUCGCCAAUCAUGUUUUCCCGCUUUGCCUCCCCAACUCGGAAACUUGCAACUUGCAGUGUCCUGGAGGUUGGGGCAGUUUGGGGUCUCUUGGCUGCUGUCCAACAGAUUUAUCUCUAAGGGCAGUGUCCUGGAUGGGAGGUCCAAGUAGGAAUGGGCGACAUUUACCUCCCUCUCCGGGAGCAGCCCUGCACACUAGGGCCCAAAAUUCUGCAAGAGAGCUUGGAAGGUCUUCAUCCGUUCCACUUGUUUUGCUACUCCACACACCCUUCUAGAACAUGUCGAUUGCCAACUGCUCUUCGUAACUUUUCCAUAAGUGUCUCUUCCCGUGUAUUUCAGAGCACUAGGCAAAUACAAGCAGAGAGACCCGGAAAAAAAAAUUAUGAAGACAGCAUUAAUGAUAAAAUUAACGUGGCUGAGUGGAUUGUCAAUGCAAGUGCCUUUACUAACUCUUUGUUAAGUUUUGCUUUGUACUCCUUACAUCCUCUUUCUCUUAAGCCAUUGUUUUAAUUUCUUCUCGUUAUCAUUUUUAAAAGUAGCAAAUACAGCUUUCUUCCUACCUUCACGAUUGACAUGGUGGAGGUUGGGUUGCAAAGAGGAAACAGUAAGAAAAAAUAAUUCUUCUAUACAUUCACAAGUCUUUCAAGGCACAAAAUAAAAGUAAGAAAUAGAAAAUGUGUCCUUUCUCCUGAUAAAGGUCUUUAUAAUGAAAUUUAAAUGAAGUUUUGUGUUUCAUAACAUCAGCUUUCCGAAUACUAUUGUAGAUACUAAAAUGUGCCUAUAUGUAUUUCCUUCCACAAUAAUAAUAGUAAUAAUAAACUUUUUAGAUUCAAAUUAAACAUUUCUCAGCUUAAAUUUCUAUCCUCAAUCCAACAUUUAUUAUAUCAAAACUUGAUUUUUAAAAAUAAAAGUUUCUUG